GACGAACGCUGGCGGCGUGCUUAACACAUGCAAGUCGAACGUGAUUUUUGUGGAAAUUCUUUCGGGAAUGGAAAUGAAAUGAAAGUGGCGAACGGGUGAGUAACACGUGAGCAACCUACCUUACACAGGGGGAUAGCCGUUGGAAACGACGAUUAAUACCGCAUGAGACCACAGAAUCGCAUGAUAUAGGGGUCAAAGAUUUAUCGGUGUAAGAAGGGCUCGCGUCUGAUUAGCUAGUUGGAAGGGUAAAGGCCUACCAAGGCGACGAUCAGUAGCCGGUCUGAGAGGAUGAACGGCCACAUUGGAACUGAGACACGGUCCAAACUCCUACGGGAGGCAGCAGUGGGGAAUAUUGCACAAUGGGGGGAACCCUGAUGCAGCGACGCCGCGUGAGCAAAGAAGGUUUUCGAAUCGUAAAGCUCUGUCCUAUGAGAAGAUAAUGACGGUAUCAUAGGAGGAAGCCCCGGCUAAAUACGUG
rnacentral:rRNA from 1 species